rnacentral:rRNA from 1 species
GUAGUCUCGCACAGAUGCAUAUCAAUAAGCGGAGGAAAAGAAACUAACAAGGAUUCCCCUAGUAACGGCGAGUGAAGCGGGAAGAGCUCAAAUUUGAAAUCUUAAAGGGUUUCCCUUUACGAAUUGUAGUUUAAAGAAGUGUUUACUGUUGAGGUUUUGGUAAAAGUUCUUUGGAAUAGGACAUCAUAGAGGGUGAGAAUCCCGUAUUUGACCUUUACUUUCAACUUUGUGAUACACUUUCAAAGAGUCGGAUUGUUUGGGAAUGCAGUCCAAAAUGGGUGGUAAAUUUCAUCUAAAGCUAAAUAUUGGCGAGAGACCGAUAGCGAACAAGUACCGUGAGGGAAAGAUGAAAAGAACUUUGAAAAGAGAGUUAAACAGUACGUGAAAUUGUCAAAAGGGAAGCGUUUGACACCAGUGUUGUUUUUCUGAAAAUCAAUUAAAGAACUGUUUAUGCUAAGUUGUUUAGACUUUAUCAGCUAUCUGUUUAGUUUUGAGCUUUUCUUUAAUGCACUUUUCAGUUAACAAGUCAACAUCAAUUUCUUUUGCUGUAAAAAAGCUUGAGGAAGGUGGCUUGAGAUUCGUCUUAAGUGUUUAUAGCCUCUUGCCUAUGCAGUCGGAGAGAUUGAGGUCUGCAGCGUAGAUCCUUCGGGGCUAAAUGCAUUUGUGCUAAGUUAUAGCAUUUUAUAGACAACUUGUUGACUAUGAUUUAGUCUUGUAGCUUACUCGCUUGUGUAUUUUACCUACGCUUAGGAUGUUGACAGCAGUAUAGACUGU